rnacentral:rRNA from 1 species
GUGUCAGCAGCCGCGGUAAGACAGAGGGUGCAAACGUUGUUCGGAAUCACUGGGCGUAAAGCGCGUGUAGGCGGCCAGACAAGUCGGGUGUGAAAGCCCACGGCUCAACCGUGGAAGGGCACUCGAAACUGCUUGGCUAGAGUCCUGGAGAGGAAGGUGGAAUACUCGGUGUAGAGGUGAAAUUCGUAGAUAUCGAGUGGAACACCGGUGGCGAAGGCGGCCUUCUGGACAGUGACUGACGCUGAGACGCGAAAGCGUGGGGAGCAAACAGGAUUAGAUACCCCGGUAGUCC